CCCGCCAAGCCUCUCAACGAUGCUCAAAUGUGCGGGU
rfam:Bacterium P201 scaffold_102, whole genome shotgun sequence.